rnacentral:tRNA from 1 species
CAGCUAGCUCAGUCGGCAGAGCAUGAGACUCUUAAUCUCAGGGUCGUGGGUUCGUGCCCCACGUUG